GAUGAACGCUGGCGGCGUGCCUAAUACAUGCAAGUCGAGCGAACAGACGAGGAGCUUGCUCCUCUGACGUUAGCGGCGGACGGGUGAGUAACACGUGGAUAACCUACCUAUAAGACUGGGAUAACUUCGGGAAACCGGAGCUAAUACCGGAUAAUAUAUUGAACCGCAUGGUUCAAUAGUGAAAGACGGUUUUGCUGUCACUUAUAGAUGGAUCCGCGCCGCAUUAGCUAGUUGGUAAGGUAACGGCUUACCAAGGCAACGAUGCGUAGCCGACCUGAGAGGGUGAUCGGCCACACUGGAACUGAGACACGGUCCAGACUCCUACGGGAGGCAGCAGUAGGGAAUCUUCCGCAAUGGGCGAAAGCCUGACGGAGCAACGCCGCGUGAGUGAUGAAGGUCUGCGGAUCGUAAAACGCUGUUAUUAGGGAAGAACAAAUGUGUAAGUAACUAUGCACGUCUUGACGGUACCUAAGCAGAAAGCCACGGCUAACUACGU
rnacentral:rRNA from 1 species